rnacentral:rRNA from 1 species
UACGUAGGGGGCGAGCGUUGUCCGGAUUUAUUGGGCGUAAAGAGCGUGUAGGCGGCUUGGCAAGUCGGGUGUGAAAACUCCGGGCUCAACUCGGAGACGCCACUCGAUACUGCUAUGACUCGAGUCCGGUAGGGGAGUGCGGAAUUCCUGGUGUAGCGGUGAAAUGCGCAGAUAUCAGGAGGAACACCGGUGGCGAAGGCGGCACUCUGGGCCGGAACUGACGCUGAGGAGCGAAAGCUAGGGGAGCAAACAGG